UACGGGGGGGGCAAGCGUUGUUCGGAAUUACUGGGCGUAAAGAGCGUGUAGGCGGCCAUGUAGGUCCGGUGUGAAAACUCGAGGCUUAACCUCGAGAUGUCAUCGGAAACCAUUUGGCUAGAGUCCGGAAGAGGAGAGUGGAAUUCCUGGUGUAGCGGUGAAAUGCGCAGAUAUCAGGAAGAACACCCGUGGCGAAGGCGGCUCUCUGGGACGGUACUGACGCUGAGACGCGAAAGCGUGGGGAGCGAACAGG
rnacentral:rRNA from 1 species